UAAAUAUUUAAUCUUACAUUUAAGGGAUUUUCUUUACUAAAAAGACUUUUGGUCGACUGACUCCCAUCGCAAAAGUUGGUGUGACAAAAUAAAAAGGUCCAUUUCAAUGCGAUGAGAUGUUAAAGCACGUGUGGUAAACAGUUAAAAAGAGAACAUGAAGAGACCAAAUAUUCUUUUAACAGGAACACCUGGAGUUGGAAAAACCACUUUGGGCAAGGAGUUGGCUGACCGAACGGGACUAACCUUUGUCAAUAUUGGGGAUUUGGCAAAGGAAGGUGAAUUUUAUGAAGGAUUUGAUGAAGAGUAUCAGUGUGCCAUUCUUGAUGAAGAUAGGGUGA